ACCUUACCAAAUCUUGACAUCCUUUGACAACUCUAGAGAUAGAGCCUUCCCCUUCGGGGGACAAAGUGACAGGUGGUGCAUGGUUGUCGUCAGCUCGUGUCGUGAGAUGUUGGGUUAAGUCCCGCAACGAGCGCAACCCUUAAGCUUAGUUGCCAUCAUUAAGUUGGGCACUCUAAGUUGACUGCCGGUGACAAACCGGAGGAAGGUGGGGAUGACGUCAAAUCAUCAUGCCCCUUAUGAUUUGGGCUACACACGUGCUACAAUGGACAAUACAAAGGGUAGCGAAACCGCGAGGUCAAGCAAAUCCCAUAAAGUUGUUCUCAGUUCGGAUUGUAGUCUGCAACUCGACUACAUGAAGCUGGAAUCGCUAGUAAUCGUAGAUCAGCAUGCUACGGUGAAUACGUUCCCGGGUCUUGUACACACCGCCCGUCACACCACGAGAGUUUGUAACACCCGAAGCCGGUGGAGUAACCUUUUAGGAGCUAGCCGUCGAAGGUGGGACAAAUGAUUGGGGUGAAGUCGUAACAAGGUAGCCGUAUCGGAAGGUGCGGCUGGAUCACCUCCUUUCUAAGGA
rnacentral:rRNA from 1 species